AAGUCAUAACAAGGUUUCUGUAGGUGAACCUGCAGAAGGAUCAUUCAUGUGUCUAUAAUAUGGACAACUUAAUCCAUAUUCACCUUGUGUGCACCAUUGACUGUUUGACUUUGGCAUGUUUUGGCUCAUAAGAGUCAACUUUGAAAGUGGGGACAGUCAGUUCCUCCCUUUUGGGGAGGGGGAUUUACAGUCAUGCUGGAAAAGUGGCAUGCCAGGGUUGUUUAUCUAACAAACCAUUGAAAUUCUUGUCUGAACCUGUAUUAAAUUUAAAAAUUCAAAUACAACUUUCAACAAUGGAUCUCUUGGCUCUC
rnacentral:misc_RNA from 1 species